GACGAACGCUGGCGGCGUGCCUAAUACAUGCAAGUCGAACGCAGUGGGGACGGGUGAGUAACACGUGGGUAACCUCCCAUCAGAGGGGAUAACACUUGGAAACAGGUGCUAAACCGAUACUGAUGUAUGGACCCGCGGUGCAUAGGCGCGUUGGUGCGGCAACGGCUCACCAAGGCCACGUAGCAUAGCCGACCUGAGAGGGUGAUCGGCCACACUGGGACUGAGACACGGCCCAGACUCCUACGGGAGGAAGCAGUAGAGAAUCUUCGGCAAUGGACGAAAGUCUGACCGAGCAACGCCGCGUGAGUGAAGAGGGUUUUCGGAUCGUAAAACUCUGUUGUUAGAGAAGCGGUAUCUAACCAGAAAGCCACGGCUAACUACGUGCCAGCAGCCGCGGUAAUUC
rnacentral:rRNA from 1 species